UACGUAGGGUGCGAGCGUUGACCGGAAUUAUUGGGCGUAAAGAGCUCGUAGGCGGUGUGUCACGUCGUUCGUGAAAACCUGCAGCUUAACUGUGGGCGUGCGGUCGAUACGGGCAUCACUGGAGUUCGGCAGGGGAGACUGGAAUUCCUGGUGUAGCGGUGAAAUGCGCAGAUAUCAGGAGGAACACCGGUGGCGAAGGCGGCGACCUGGACGGACACUGACGCUGAGACGCGAAAGCGUGGGGAGCAAACAGG
rnacentral:rRNA from 1 species